GUAUUAGACUCCUUGGCACUUAAAAUCUCCCAGGACAUUGAGCCAGAGAGUUCGUAGCCAUGUUAAUCACCCUGCGAUGAGCGCAUCCUGCCAGAUGAGGAGAGGACUUUUGAUACAUCUUUCACAGAAGCCAGCUAACAGCAGUGGGAAUAUGGGUAAAGAUGGUAAUUUCACUUUCCUUUGGCCACAGACAAAAUUAAUCCCUCAUGAGUUUCUUUCUGAUGGAGUGGAUAUGACAUGCACAUUAUCCGCAGAUGAAUUUGUAAUGAUAAAGAAAUUAAUUACAUAACCUGACAAACGAAUUAUUAAUGACAGAGCACAGAGUAGAAACAUUCUCCUGAAGAAAUGGAUAAGUGAGGUGUUCAGCAAACUGAAUUGCCAGGAAGGAACAAGGAUUCCGUUACUGGUCCCUGUCUCCUGCACCCUAGAGAUGAGUAGGGAGUAUAACGCAACUUUCCUUGAUAUGUUCCUGCAAGAAAAUGACCGCUUGCCACUGUUUAGAAGAUUCUUUCUGCCUGACUGAAGACUGGCAUUUUGUAAUUUCCACCAUCUUCAUGACUUCGAAAAAUGCUUUUGUAAUAUAGGGUGUCACACAGAGGAAAAUUAUGGGACAGGAGCUCUAAGCUUAUUAGUAGAUACUUGGGCACACCAGCAAAGACAACCAAAGAAAAAAUAUCUGGUCUGUCUACCCCAGUCUGAAGAAAAAGCAAGCAUUAUGAGAUGGACUAUCUGCUACAAUGACAAAGGUCCUUCACCAGAUGCAUCAGCUAAGUCAACACUCACCUGCUCUUUCUAAUCAAGUUGCUUAAACUGCAUCUCCUAAGCUGGCUGCUCCCAGCUGGAAUCAAGAGACUUGGAGCUCUGCCCUCGCCAAUCCCUACCAGCACCUGUGGGAUGCCAGCAGCUCUGUACUGUGAGGCUUUUAGUGGCUCUAGCGUUAGCUGAGGAACUGUACCCAGAAACUAUAAGAAAAAUGUCCAGGAGUCAUUGGGCAACAAAUGCAGCUUUAUU
ensembl:lncRNA